rnacentral:rRNA from 1 species
UACGGAGGAUGCGAGCGUUAUCCGGAUUUAUUGGGUUUAAAGGGUGCGUAGGCGGACGCUUAAGUCAGCGGUAAAAUUGCGGGGCUCAACCUCGUCGAGCCGUUGAAACUGGGUGUCUUGAGUGGGCGAGAAGUACGCGGAAUGCGUGGUGUAGCGGUGAAAUGCAUAGAUAUCACGCAGAACUCCGAUUGCGAAGGCAGCGUGCCGGCGCCCAACUGACGCUGAAGCACGAAGGCGUGGGUAUCGAACAGG